rnacentral:lncRNA from 1 species
AAGGACUGUGCUCCCAAUCCGCUUACGCUCAAGGAAGAACUGCCUGGAAGCCCUCCCUGGUACCAUACCCCAGCCGAUGAGUAUGUACCCCCAGAAGUACUUCCGCUCAGAGAAGAAGGAGACGGCAAGCAGGGUGUACAGGAAGGCCCAGAACCAGCCUGCUGUCAGGAUCAGAACAAAAGAGGAGGACUGCAUAUGUAUGGACCCACUCCAGAUGGCACGGGGACGGGGGGAGUAGGAAAAGUGGCAUGAGACCAGGCCCACAGAGUAUGGCUGUGCAAGUUGUUCACUCUACAAGGGCACCUGGCCGGGGUCUUACCUUGAAUGGAGGAGAAGAGCUUGAAGAUGAGGGGACAGGCCAAGACAACUACCUGGCCCCGAGGGGUGGCUGGCCAGCAGAUGAGGAAAUGGAGGCACAGACUGAUUAGAAAACCAGCUCAAGGUCAUGUUGCUGCUGGGCCUCCUCCAGGCACUGCUUGUGCUGCACCUCGAUCAUCUGCACAUAGUCACACUCCUCCUGCAGCCUGGCCGCCUGGCCGCCCUGAGAACAAAGACAGGGAGGGCCCAUCAGCCUCGUCCAUAGACUCAGGAGCACCAGGCCCAGUCUCUGGACUGCACCUGCCCUCUCCCUGGAAGAGAUCCAAGUUCCAGAUGGAACCCCAAUACCAACCCAAGACUGAAACCU